GAGAGUUUGAUCCUGGCUCAGGACGAACGCUGGCGGCGCGCCUAACACAUGCAAGUCGAACGGAGUUAUUUCAGCUGAAGCUUUCGGGUGGACGCAGGGAUAACUUAGUGGCGAACGGGUGAGUAACACGUGAGGAACCUGCCCUGGAGUGGGGGACAACAGUUGGAAACGACUGCUAAUACCGCAUAAGCCCACAGCACCGCAUGGUGCAGAGGGAAAAGGAGCAAUUCGCUUCAGGAUGGCCUCGCGUCCAAUUAGGUAGAUGGUGAGGUAACGGCCCACCAUGCCGACGAUUGGUAGCCGGACUGAGAGGUUGAACGGCCACAUUGGGACUGAGACACGGCCCAGACUCCUACGGGAGGCAGCAGUGGGGAAUAUUGCACAAUGGGGGAAACCCUGAUGCAGCGACGCCGCGUGGAGGAAGAAGGUUUUCGGAUUGUAAACUCCUGUCUUCGGGGACGAUAAUGACGGUACCCGAGGAGGAAGCCACGGCUAACUACGUGCCAGCAGCCGCGGUAAAACGUAGGUGGCAAGCGUUGUCCGGAAUUACUGGGUGUAAAGGGAGCGCAGGCGGGUCGGCAAGUUGGAGGUGAAAGCUGUGGGCUCAACUCACAAACUGCCUUCAAAACUGCCGGUCUUGAGUGGUGUAGAGGUAGGCGGAAUUCCCGGUGUAGCGGUGGAAUGCGUAGAUAUCGGGAGGAACACCAGUGGCGAAGGCGGCCUACUGGGCACUAACUGACGCUGAGGCUCGAAAGCAUGGGUAGCAAACAGGAUUAGAUACCCUGGUAGUCCAUGCCGUAAACGAUGAUUACUAGGUGUGGGAGGAUUGACCCCUUCCGUGCCGCAGUUAACACAAUAAGUAAUCCACCUGGGGAGUACGACCGCAAGGUUGAAACUCAAAGGAAUUGACGGGGGCCCGCACAAGCAGUGGAGUAUGUGGUUUAAUUCGAAGCAACGCGAAAAACCUUACCAGGUCUUGACAUCCGACGCAUAGUGCAGAGAUGCAUGAAGUCCUUCGGGACGUCGAGACAGGUGGUGCAUGGUUGUCGUCAGCUCGUGUCGUGAGAUGUUGGGUUAAGUCCCGCAACGAGCGCAACCCUUAUCGUCAGUUACUACGCAAGAGGACUCUGGCGAGACUGCCGUUGACAAAACGGAGGAAG
rnacentral:rRNA from 1 species